rnacentral:tRNA from 1 species
AAGUAUAAAAAGAACUUCUAAUUCUUAAAAAGCUACCAGCUAUACUUA